GACGAACGCUGGCGGCGUGCUUAACACAUGCAAGUCGAGCGGGUAAGGCCCUUUCGGGGGUACACGAGCGGCGAACGGGUGAGUAACACGUGGGUGACCUGCCCUCAGCUCUGGGAUAAGCCUGGGAAACCGGGUCUAAUACUGGAUAUGACUCCAUGACGCAUGUUGUGGGGUGGAAAGCCUUGUGCGGCUGAGGAUGGGCCCGCGGCCUAUCAGCUUGUUGGUGGGGUGANGGCCUACCAAGGCGACGACGGGUAGCCGGCCUGAGAGGGCGACCGGCCACACUGGGACUGAGACACGGCCCAGACUCCUACGGGAGGCAGCAGUGGGGAAUCUUGCGCAAUGGGCGAAAGCCUGACGCAGCGACGCCGCGUGAGGGAUGACGGCCU
rnacentral:rRNA from 1 species